CGGAUUUAGAUACACUAAACUACUUUUGUUUGAGAAUAUACCAUGAGAUGGUCACGAGUGGAGAGCUUUAGGCCUAGAUCUUAAAGUGAGUAGACUUAGGAGUGGCGGUUGUGCUGGUGGGGAAAUCCUCAAGCAACAUCAUGAGAUAAAUACUUAACAAGAUCAGUCGUUAUCUUCCACGUCGUUACCUGAGAACAUUCCUGCCGGACGUUAGCAGCCAGGUGUCAAGAACCAGGAAUCUUAGCCUUUUUGACACUCAACAACAACAACAACAACGAUACAGCCAACUGGAUGUACGUUUGCAUUGUGGUGUCUGGUGAUUGGUGGUGCCAACGGAUUGCUUGAUUCGUCAGAAGUUUACAGGUUGAUGAAUAAAAACUCAAAAUGGAAUCUUGGUGAAGGAAUUUUUUCCGAUGCAAUGUCUUCUCAUCACCAAACACAGCCAGCAGUAUAUUAUAAAUAUUAAUCUGAAUCGUUGAAUGGUUCCAAUUGUUCAUCGCAAGUACGGAAAAUAAAUAUUGGUUAGUGUAGAACAUCUUGCCGUUCCUCAAACUCACUGAGCCAACAAUGGGAAAAACAGAUUAGAAUAGAACCUGUCAAAGAAAAUGUCGAAGUUGAACGAAUUUAUCAGCCAUUAUUGUUCAUGUCGAUGGCGGCUGUGCUAUGUCAGCUUUUUCGCUUUGCUUCUCAUGCAGACUUUACGUGUAGACCUUAGUAUGUCGUUAGUUUGCAUGUUAAAAACACCCAAUCGUACAAUUGAUGAAGUCAACCUUACUCGAAAUAACGAACACUGUUCUCGUUCAGACAAUCGCACAUCAAAUGGAGAGGAUUUUGAAGGAGAGUUCGAAUGGAGCAACAUUCUGCAAUCAAACAUGCUGGCUGGAUACUUUUAUGGAUACACAAUUACUAACCUUCUUGGCGGUGUAUUAGCUGACAAAUAUGGUGGAAAGAGAGUUAUGGGGGCUUCCAUAUUCUCAGCUUCCCUCCUGGCCAUUCUUCACCCAAGUCUAACACGAAUAAGUGGUUAUUUCACUCUUGUAUUGAGGAUACUUACAGGUCUGGUCUCAGCACCCAUGCUACCCGCUGUCCAGUCCCUAUGGGGGAGGUGGGCCCCACCAAGAGAAAGUAGUGUUUUGAUAGGGAUUACAAUUGCCGGUCAAACAGUCGGUAGUAUUGUCGGUCUGUCAGCUUCCGGUUUCCUUUGUGUUUAUGGCUUUGAUAAUGGAUGGGGUUCUAUAUUUUAUAUAUUUGGUGGAUUAUCGUUGGUGUUUAGCUUUGUGUGGAUUUAUGUUGUUUAUGAUAAUCCAAACGUCCAUCCAACUAUCAGCGAAAAAGAACGUUCCUACUUAAACAAAACAAUAACAUGUAAAAGUAAAGUGAAGAACGUGCCUUGGAAAAGCAUCAUGUCUUCUACAGCCGUUUGGGCCAUCAUUAUGGGGCAUACACUUAUUAGCUGGACCGCUAUUUCUUUUCAAGUGACUCUGCCUUUGUAUAUGAAAGAAGCGUUAAAUAUUGAUACGAAAUCAAACGGUUUAAUGUCUUCAGCUCCGUUUAUUGGGCAAAUGAUCGCCAUACCAUUUUGUGGAAGGUUUGCAGACUUCUUGCGUUCAAACAAUUAUCUUUCAACACGAUCCGUUCGAGUUCUUUUCCAGUCAGUUUCUUACAUUGGUUCAGCGUCUCUGAUUAUCGUAAUCGGAUUCCUUAAUUGCAACCAAACAACAUUGGCCGGAAUUCUUUUCUUUUUCGCCGGUGCCAGCCUAACUUUCUAUGUUGGGGGUUUCGUUGUGAAUCAUGUUGACAUUGCUCCUAAAUACGCUGGUAUAUUGUUCGGAAUUACAAAUACCUUCGCAUCGUUACCUGCCUUUCUGGCUCCUUUAACCACAAAAUCACUAACACCAAACGGAACACGACAAGAAUGGCAGAUAGCUUUAUCAUUGUGUGCCAUAUCGUCUGUGUGUGGGACAAUAUUCUAUGCAAUAUUCGCGAGAGGGGAUGUACAAGAUUGGGCUAAAUCUGAUGAAAUAUCGAUUAAAAAUUCUUCAAACGAGGAAGAAACUAUAAAACUAAAUGAGGAAAAGCAAAGAUAGUAUUUGUCCUGUUUCUGUUAGUAACUAACAAACUUCGAAGAGGUUUUCGCCGUAGGAUUUAUAUCUUCGAGUUGGCCUUGUUAAAAUAUUAUGAAGGUCGCGAGUUGUAAGAAUAGUUAGAGUGCCGGAUAACAUGCUUAGCGGCAUGUAAUCUGUCUUUACGUUUUGAGUUAAAAUUUUGCCGAGGUUGCUCUGCCUUUCACAUUUUCUGGGUCGAUGGAAUAUGUAUCUGCUGAGCACUGAUUGGAUGUAAUCGAACUUUCCCUUCUCAAGAACUUGCUGGCUUUGUGCCAAAUUUGAAAUCAUCAUCAUGGCGACGAGCUGGCAGAAUCGCUAGAAUGCCGGAUAAAAUGCUUAGCGGCAUCGCGUCCAUCGAGUUCGAGAGUUCAAAUUCCGCUGGGGACGACUCUGCCUUGCACUCUUUUGGGGAAGAAGAAAUAGGUACCAGUUGAGCACCGGGUUCGAUGCAAUCCACUUAGUCCUUCCCCAAAAUUCUAGACCAUGUGCCUAUAACAGAAAGGAGGAUAUUAUUAAGGUGGUUAGCUGAGAUGAUAGUUAGCACGCCGUUAAAAUUGGCGGCAAGCUAGUAGGAUAAUUAGCACGCCGAUAAAAAUGCUUAGCAGCGUCUCUUCCGGCUCUUUACAUUCUAAGUUCAAAUUCCGCUGAGGUUGACUUUGCCUUUCGUCCUUUCGGGGAACGGUAAAAUAAGUAACAUUUGACUAUUGGGGUCGAUGUUAUCUUAACAUUUCUCCUCCCUCCAAUUUUUAGGCCUUGUGCCCUUGUAGAACAGAUUAUUACGAAGGCCUCAAGCUGGCGGAAUUUUUAGCAUGCUGGGCAAAAUACUUAGCGACAUUUCGGCCGUCUUUAUGUUCCGAGAUCAAAUACCACGGGGAUCAGCUUUGCCUUCCAUCUUUUCGGGGUCGAUGAAAUAUGCACCAGUUACACACUGGAGUCGAUGUAAUCGACUUCCCUACCCACAAUUUCCGAUUUUUUGCUUAUAUUUUAGGUAUUUUGCUUAUAAUGGGAGGGAUUAUUAGCAAGGCGGCGGGUUGGCAGAGUCGGUAACACUCUGGACCAAUACUUAGCAGUAUUUCGUCAGUCUUAACGAUCUGAGUUCAAACUCCGCGUUCCGCCAAAUUUCAACCCUUAUGUCUAUUACAGAAAAGUUUAAUACCAAGGCCGAAUAUGCCUUUAGCAGUCGACCAAAUAAGUACCAGUUAAAUAUGGAGGGCGAUGUACUUGUAACAGAAAGAAAGAAAUUUGUUAAGGCGUGGAACUGGUAGAAUCGUUUUCAAGCCAGACAAAAAUACUUAAUGGUAUUUCUUCCGGCUUUUAACAUUCUGGGUUCUAAUUUCGCCGAGGCCGACUUUGCUUUUUACCGUUUCUGGGUCGAUGAAAUAAAUACCAGUCGACUUACACGCUCCCUUUAAAAGACUGUUUUUGUGUCAAAAUUCAAAUUAUUAUUAUUAUUAUUAUUACCUAUGCCUCUCAUUCUUUUAGUGUCAGUAAAAUUAAACCCCGGUCAAAAACUGUAUUUAAUGCUAUUGAUUGUGCUGUUUCUCAGAUUUAGAGCGUUUUGCCAAUGAGAGAAAUAUUAAGGGCGGUGAAUUGGCAGCCAUUGGAGUGUCGGACAGAAGUCCUUGCGGUUUUUCUUCCAGAUCUUUAUGCUCUGGGUUCAAAUCCUGCCGAUGAGAAAUUUGCUUUUUAACCCACUCAGGGUCGAUAAAACGAAAUAUCAGUCAAAUACUAAUAUCGGGGUCAUCGAUGGGCCCCAACCGCUCAAAGCUGUUGUCCUUCAGCGCUUUUCAUAUAAUUUGUUUCUAUGUUUUUUUUCUUAUUUUGUCUUUCAGUUUCAUUUUUAAUGUGCAUUUUCAGAGGACCAAAGAGCGCAGCUCUGUGUACCUUGGGUCGAUGGACAGAGACUGAAAACGAAAUAUACUAAAUUUUGACCAAGAAAAUCUCAGCAAAUCCUACUAACAAUUGUCUAUCACAAAAGAGGAGUUGUUCACCGUCUGUUUGUCCAUCACAACAUCUAUUAGAGGGAGGGAAGAAGGGAAGGGAUCAAAAAGUGAGAUAACCCCUGUCACGGCGUUCUUUUUAGAAGCAAAGGAGGGGGUGUUGUUGGGGAAAAAAUCAGGGAGAGAGAAUGUGAAAGAGGUAAAUAAGACUGAUAGAUUAAUUUUAAGUUUAAGUCUUUCAACGCAACAUAGACCUCUAUAUAUAGACUGGGUCGUUACCCGGAAGCAUAGCGACAAGAAGUCAUUAGUAUAUUAUUAAUAUUAAUUUGGAUCACAAGACACUGAUGUUUCAAAUUUUACGUCGUAAAUACGGGAAUUAGAUUAUAGUUAGUGUAUAGGAUCUUGCCGUUCCUCAAACUCACUGAGCCAACAUUGGGAAAAACAGAUUAGAAUAGAACCUGUCAAAGAAA
rnacentral:misc_RNA from 1 species